rnacentral:lncRNA from 1 species
AAAAGAAUACUAACAUAAUCUAAUUAUGUCAGAGAAACCCAUAUUCACAAUGCAAAAGAAUCGUUGAAAUGCGUGUGUAUCGUUAAUAGUAAUAUCUGAUGUCUUCAAGUCUCGUAUAAUUAUUUGGUCUCAUACAAUUAAAUAAACAACUUCCAACUUGCUCAAAUUUUAACAUGACAUGUACAAUAAGAAGCAAAAUAAGUAAACAAGAAUGCUAUUUUUCGGGUGGCGGAGAAAGGACUCCGGGAGGAGGCGCUGGUGGUGGUGGUGGUCCAUAAUACUGAGGAAUCGUGGCGGCUUCGCGGCGGCCUCGUGAUCUACCAAACAGGUAACUAGCAAGGGCUGUAAUGAGGAAGAAGAGGAUCAAUGGCAGUGAUAUAACAAUCACGUAACCCAUUGAUUCAAGGUUUUCUUUAAAUUUCCUCUUUUCCUGCCAAAAUUAUUGCACGCACAUAUUAAAACAUAAGUAACAGGUAUACAUAUAAUAGACACUGAUUACACACGAUUAUACACAUAUUAUAUAUUAAUUAUAUAUGUAUUAUACAUCCACCGGUUACUGUUAGUUUAAACGGUUGGAUGGACGGCUAUUUGGGUUAAUUCUUUUUUUUUAUGCACAUUAAUUUACUAAUAUAAUUUGUUCAAUAUUUGCACAAAUUAAAUCACUGGCAUGUUGCGUACUUAAAUAUCUAGGUCACUUAAACUAAGUUUAGAUAACAUUACAAAAGAAUUUAGAACUUAAAGUACUCCCUAUAUAUGUAUUGUAUAAUAUAUAAAAAUAACAGAAUUCACCAGAUUUCUCUAAAUCCUAAAUUCGCUAUUGUUCAAGAGUAAUAUCAAGGUAUAAUUAUGGGCAGCUUGAACCAUUAAUUUAUAUGUUAACAGAAUAACCUAAUAAAAAUAUUUAAAAUAUAGCCACUUAACUUCGCAUACUCUUUAAUCUUGUGUCGGUUAAGCAAUGAUCUCUCUCCCAAUCUGAUAUAACCCAAAUGAGGAUUGAUUCAAAUUGAAGCAACCCACUUCCAACCGAGAGGUUGUGAGUUCGAGUCUCACCAAGAGCAAGGUGGGAAGUUCUUGGAGGGAAGAAUGUCCCUAUUUGAAAACAACCUCUCUAUCCAAGAAUAGGGGUAAGGUCUGUGUACAUACUACACUCCGCAAACCCCACUAAGAAGGAUUAUACUGGAUUGUUGUUGUUAUUGAAUCAACAAAAAUGAAAGAAGAUCAACAGAAAAAAAGGAAAUUAAAGUAAAAUAGAGACGUACCUCGUUCUGAUCACAAGAAAAUAAACUGACCGAUCACCUAGUACUGAAACAAAAAACUGAACUGUUUCUGACUUUCCUUUUUAGGUUUUGGCUGUGUUAGCUUAGGAUGUUUGUGUGGAAAGAUUCGUGGAUGAUAAGGUUGAUGACGUGUUUCAAUAUAAAGGAUUUCUGUACGAGUAUAAUAUGACAGCUUUUAGUUUGUCCUUUUUUAUUCUUUCUUUAUAUUCUG